rnacentral:misc_RNA from 1 species
UACGGAGGAUCCAAGCGUUAUCCGGAAUCAUUGGGCUUAAAGGGUCCGUAGGCGGGACAGUAAGUCAGUGGUGAAAGUCUGUGGCUCAACCAUAGAACUGCCAUUGAUACUGUUGUCCUUGAGUCAUUAUGAAGUGGUUAGAAUACGUAGUGUAGCGGUGAAAUGCAUAGAUAUUACAUAGAAUACCGAUUGCGAAGGCAGAUCACUAAUAAUGUACUGACGCUGAUGGACGAAAGCGUAGGUAGCGAACAGG